rnacentral:rRNA from 1 species
GAUGAACGCUAGCGAUAGGCUUAACACAUGCAAGUCGAGGGGCAGCAUGAUCUUAGCUUGCUAAGAUUGAUGGCGACCGGCGCACGGGUGAGUAACACGUAUGCAACCUACCCACUACAGGGGGAUAGCUCGCUGAAAGGCGAAUUAAUACCGCAUAAUACAGGGAUCUCGCAUGAGAUUAUUUGUUAAAGAAUUUUCGGUAGUGGAUGGGCAUGCGUUCCAUUAGCUAGUUGGUAAGGUAACGGCUUACCAAGGCAACGAUGGAUAGGGGUUCUGAGAGGAAGGUCCCCCACACUGGUACUGAGACACGGACCAGACUCCUACGGGAGGCAGCAGUGAGGAAUAUUGGUCAAUGGGCGAGAGCCUGAACCAGCCAAAUCGCGUGAAGGACGACGGUAUUAUGUAUUGUAAACUUCUUUUAUAAGGGAAUAAAAAGUAGGACGUGUCCUAUGUUGCAUGUACCUUAUGAAUAAGCAUCGGCUAACUCCGUGCCAGCCGCCGCCGUAACAC